rnacentral:tmRNA from 1 species
GGGGGCGUAAGGAUUCGACGGGGGUUAUGAGUCUCAGGUUGCAUGUCGUGGCUCCGUCACCAUGUUAAAAAGGCGGAAACAAACACAAACGCCAACGAAGAACUGGCACUCGCCGCUUAAAUAAAGCGGUGCGCUGCUUCGGGAACGUCCGCUACCCGGGGUUAGCGUCAUAAUGCGGGCUGGCAACGGGUGAUCCCCUUAAACCCGGUGUAAGAUCUCAAGGGGUAGGGUCUUGAACAGCCUUUCUGCCGGCGAUUCAUGACCUGAUAUCUAAACGGUAGAAUAUGCAUGUAGACGCCUGAGUGUAGUACUUUCGGACGCGGGUUCGAUUCCCGCCGCCUCCACCA